rnacentral:sRNA from 1 species
UCCUCAGUCCUCUCUGCUUCUGCCCUGGCCCCUCUUGGGCUGUUCACAGCACAGCAGCUGUUGCCACCCUGUUAAUGCUCCCACUCUCCUACAGCCUUUGGUCUUGCCCCAGGUAGGAGCCUGAGGCUGCACAGAGGUCAGCACGGCCCCGCUUACCCUGCCCUCCCAGCCCAGCUGCACGGGCCUUGCUGCACACAUGCCUCGGCAUAUUCCUGCCUUAGGGCUGGUGCUCCUGCUAUUUCCUCUUCCCAGGUAACCAUGUGAAGUGCCUCCCUCUGCCCUCUUUCCAGCCUUUACUUGAGUGUCACCUUCUCAGUGAGGCCUGCCCUCAUUCCUCUUUUGCUGUUUGCAACCCAUCUCCUGUCCCCCUUCCCAGAACUCCCUUUACUACUUCAUUUUUCUUCACAGUACUUGAUACUGCCUAACACAUUCCAUGGUUUCUUACUUGCCCUGUUUAUUAUUUUCCCCCAAUAGACAGAAUGUUCCAUGAUGGCAGAAUUCUCUGUUUUGUUUCCUUCCAUGUCCCCAGCACCUAGAACAGUGCCUGACGCAUCUCCUAAGCAAUACGACCAAUAAGUAUGUGUCUGGCUGCUUUCCGGCUGCCAGUGUCUGCCUCUUUCCUAGGGGGAGUGGUUGUGGGGGUGCUUUCUCACAUGUCUUAGUAGGCUGUGCAGGCUGGAAGUGCUCAGAAGUCACACCCCCAGGGAGCAGCCUCAGCCAACAGCACCUUGGGUAUAAAUGCCCCAGCUCCCUCGCCCUCAGGUAAGCAUUGCUGAGGCACACAUUCCAUACUCUUUUCCACAGUUCCUCCGUGGGACUGAGCACCAUCCAGCCACCCACAGGAGCAGCUAACCUGAUAACCACCAGCCUCACCCUCCCUGCCUUACUUCCCCGCUCCCCUUUACCACAUGCUGACCUCCCAGAUGCAUUUCUUGCUUUCCAGUCUCUGUCUCAGAAUUGGCUCCUGGAUGAACACAAACUAACGCUAUGUUCACAAAUAUAUUUGGGAAAUGCUGGAUGAAUAAUUAUACACAUCAGACAGAUUACUAGAAAUGCUCACCAAAGGGAUGCACAUGUUACCUCUGCAUGGUGAGAUCUCAGGUGCUUUUUACCCCACAUAGCUAUCCUUUGGCAUUUUUAUAAUUAGCAAGUGCUCACUCUUCCACUGUCAGUACAUUCUCAUUCUUCUUGGGCGCUGGACAAGAAUUCAACCGGUGUGUAAGCCAGACUGGGCCCAGGCAGUCUCAAACUCCUGACUCCUUAUAUAAUUUCUAGAAAAAUUAUAAAGCUGUUUCCCACUCCCCACCCCACAUUCAUGUAACCUGAAGCAUGAGUAAACCAAGAAUGAGGUAGGCCUCUGUCUUCUAAGCAACAUCAGAACUCUAAGAACAUGAGGGACUCUUAGAAAACUCUCUGGAGCUAACUACAGUUGGGUCACUGCUCAUGUACUGAAGACCAGCCAGAGGGUUCCCCUGAAAAGGAGGGAAACUGAGCAAACAUUCUCCAGUUCUCUUAGUGUGCACAUGUUUCAGGAGGUGUGAACCCCACAUGUAGCUUGUGUAGGCAAGAAGACAAAUAGUGCUACUGUCUGGUCAAGGAUUUGUUUGAAGAGCCAUGAUUAUGCCCAUAUGGUAAGCUACCAGUGCUCCCCAUCCCUGUAAGACACUUCUUUCUCAUUAUUUUCUCCUCUGAUGGUGUGCCAGGAUGCUGGCCAAGAGAAGCCAAGUGGAAAGAAGGCUGUUCAGUGACAAGGAACCUAAGACUUAGUGCCAAGGACUGAAACCAAGUAAACUUGUAAUUUUCCAUGAUGGAAACAUCUACACUUUCUCAUUAGUGGCCUCUACAGCAGUUGCCCCAAAGAAGCGUCUCAUUGUUUUUUUACUACAUUUAUGUGAAGCAUACAGGCAAACUCAGAAAGACUGUGAUAAGGCUCGCCAGAGAUGCCUGCACAGGUGCUGGGGGAAAAGCAGGACCAUCCUGAAGGGAGAUGGUGUCUGUGGACAAAGAACUCUGCAGUGGUUCUUAUUUGCAUGAUUUCUGCUGGUGGAGGCUGUAAAUGUGAGCUCAAACUCCCACAUAAGUGAGUUUUCGUUGUAAUCCAGAAUGUUUUUAAAUCACCCUACUUCUAUUGAACUUGCACUAUCAUCUGUUAACCUCUACUGUAUUUAUUAAAUAAACCUGAAUAGGUAAAUCACAGUACAGCAAAAGGUUCUGUGUUCCCCAGAAUUCUAGUCAAACUCCAAAUUCCUGAAAAGGCUCUAGUCCUUUCCUAUAUGUCAAAUUUAAAUGAUAAGUUUUCAUUUUGGAACAUAAAGAGGGAUUUUGAAGACCACAGCAUAGCCCUGGGUUUUUGCAUAGAGAUAAUAAACAGACAAUCUCUUUUCAGACUGA